rnacentral:rRNA from 1 species
CACGUAGGUGGCAAGCGUUGUCCGGAUUUACUGGGCGUAAAGAGCGCGCAGGCGGUCGUUCAAGUCGCGUGUGAAAGCCCCCGGCUCAACUGGGGAGGGUCACGCGAUACUGAUCGACUCGAAGGCAGGAGAGGGAAGUGGAAUUCCCGGUGUAGUGGUGAAAUGCGGUGAUAUCGGAAGGAACGCCGGUGGCGAAAGCGGCGUGCUGGACCUCUUCUGACGCUGAUGCGCGAAAGCCAGGGGAGCAAACGGG